rnacentral:rRNA from 1 species
AGCUUUACGCUGUUACCUAAAGUAAUUCCUGCUCAGUGAAUAUAAACAGCCGCAGAAUUUUAUACUGUGCUAAGGUAGCAUAAUCACUUGUCUUUUAAUUAAAGAAUAGAAUGAACGGAAAAACGAAUUUUAAACUAUUUCAUUAUUACUUAAUAAAUUUACCAAAAAGUAAAAACACUUUUAAACUAAAAAAAGACGACAAGACCCUAAAGAACUUAACUAAAGUUUAGCUGGGGCGGCUCCAUAAAAAAAUCUUACAUCUCUUUCCUCAAACCCUAAAUUUAUACCAAUGUUACCUUAGGGAUAACAGCAUAAUUUAAUUUUACAGUUCGUAUCCAAAAUUAAGAUUAUGACCUCGAUGUUGAAUUAAAUUUCUUUUAAAAGAAAAAAAUUAACUAGAAAGUCUGUUCGACUUAUAAACCUUUACAUGAUUUGAGUUCAGACCGGUGAAAACCAGGUCGGUUUCUAUCUUUUUUAAAAAUGCAUCAGUACGAAAGGACCAUUCACCUUAUUA